rnacentral:lncRNA from 1 species
AUAAACGAUUUUUCUUGUUGCAGGGGAUUGCAGUGGCAAAGCUAGGCUAGGUCUUGGAGGCUGGUGUAAGGCGAUGUGGGUGAAGGCAGGAGGCUGAUGGAAAGACUGGGGGGAAGAAAAGCCGAAAUGGAUUCACGGUGCCUUGGAUGAAGGACGAGAGGGGAACUGCAAGCUCCUUCAACUGGUUCUGUCCGGUGAGAAGUGAUCAAGCUUGGGCUGACAAGAGGCUCAGGGAGCCCUCACGUUCUUUCGCUUUUUUACCUGCCAAUCAAACUGCUACAAGACAACACCCUGAUCUGGCAUGGACAUUUAUUCUUCUUAGGAUGGCUGCCAGGGAAUAGAUGAAAGGCAGAAGUGGCGAUGGGUGACUGAUGUGGCACACUUAUGAAGAAAAGCCUCUUUUUCCAUGCUUGUUUUUCCUCCCCAAGGAGCCAACAGAGUUUCUAUUCUCCAACUCUGCUCUUCACCUUACCCAAGUCAUUGCAGUCACCUGGAGUCACGGAAAUGACCAUGAUUGCCUGAACUUUCAUGACUUCUGUGGAUAACUGUGGUUGCAGAAAAGAGAAAACCUGGACCGUGAGGGACAUUUCACUCCCUGGGCUUU